CCUACGGGUGGCAGCAGUGAGGAAUAUUGGUCAAUGGCCGUAAGCCUGAACCAGCCAAGUAGCGUGAAGGAUGACUGAUCUAUGGGUUGUAAACUUCUUUUAUAAAGGAAUAAAGUGAGCCACGUGUGGAUAUUUGCAUGUACUCUAUGAAUAAGGAUCGGCUAACUCCGUGCCAGCAGCCGCGGUAAUACGGAGGAUCCGAGCGUUAUCCGGAUUUAUUGGGUUUAAAGGGAGCGUAGAUGGGUUGUUAAGUCAGCUGUGAAAGUUUGCGGCUCAACCGUAAAAUUGCAGUUGAUACUGGAAGUCUUGAGUGCAGUUGAGGUAGGCGGAAUUCGUGGUGUAGCGGUGAAAUGCUUAGAUAUCACGAAGAACUCCGAUUGCGAAGGCAGCUUACUAAGCUGCCACUGACAUUGAUGCUCGAAAGCGUGGGGAUCAAACAGGAUUAGAUACCCGAGUAGUC
rnacentral:rRNA from 1 species